GACGAACCGUGCGAACGUUAUUCGGAAUCACUGGGCUUAAAGCGCGUGUAGGCGGGCCGGCACGUCGGUCGCUGAAAUCCCCCGGCUCAACCGGGGAACGGGCACCGAUACGAGCGGCCUGGAGGGGGGUAGGGGGGUCUGGAACUUCCGGUGGAGCGGUGAAAUGCGUUGAGAUCGGAAGGAACGCCCGUGGCGAAAGCGAGGCCCUGGACCCUUACUGACGCUGAGACGCGAAAGCCAGGGGAGCGAACGGG
rnacentral:rRNA from 1 species